UACGUAGGGCGCAAGCGUUAUCCGGAAUUAUUGGGCGUAAAGAGCUCGUAGGCGGUUUGUCGCGUCUGCCGUGAAAGUCCGGGGCUCAACUCCGGAUCUGCGGUGGGUACGGGCAGACUAGAGUGAUGUAGGGGAGACUGGAAUUCCUGGUGUAGCGGUGAAAUGCGCAGAUAUCAGGAGGAACACCGAUGGCGAAGGCAGGUCUCUGGGCAUUAACUGACGCUGAGGAGCGAAAAGCAUGGGGGAGCGAACAGGG
rnacentral:rRNA from 1 species